rnacentral:lncRNA from 1 species
CUGAGCCACAGUCUCUGGAACAGUAGUUAACACUCCUGGGCACUAAGCCAUCUCUCCAGGGGGAUAGUUUUGAGAGUGGAAGAAGAAACUAUUCAAAGUAUGCAUGAUAAGGAAUAUAAAUGGCUUGUCCUGAGAAAUGAGUGCUAUGGCUGCCUGGACUAUAAGCCCUAGAAGUAAAAACCUAUGGAAAGCUACACCACUACACCGAGCGGCAACAAGAGCAAGCAAAAUCCACUUAAGGUUUUAGUAUCUGUGAUUACUUUGUGUGUUCUCUACCUCCAGCGAUUUGUGUGACCAAAGGGGCAUCACCGGCCUCCUGGUUUCUGGGCAGAUAAAAAGUGGAAAACCCGGAAGGUUUUCACACUUCUGGCUUCCCGGAAACACGGGAGGAAAUCAAGGGCAGCACUCGCCCGAGCAUGGCUCUGCAUUAGACUGACGACCUUGGACUGAAACUGCCCUGUGUCCAAACAAGGGCGAAGACAUGAUCAGCCCUCUGGUUAUUUUCACCCAUGUGAAGAGGCACUUGGCAUCUUGGAUUCACACCAGCCCUGGCCAUGGGAAGAAGCCGUGUGUUGAUUGAAGCAGUCUGAGACCGGUGAUUUGGAGAAGUAGAAAAACAAACUAGGUGCCCUGACCAGACCCACCCGUAGCUCCAUAUGCUGUUUUCCUGCCACUCAGCGUCUGAUGGAUGAGAGAAGGUGGCUCCUGAGGAGAGGAAGGUGGGGGGGGGGGGGGGACGGGGACUGCAGGUGCUCCAAAUUAGGAAUAAUUCUGCAGAUUAGCCUAAUGAAGUCAAAAAGUUAAUUUGUAGCUGCCAGCUGUUGAGCAGUAAGUUACAAAGUGCCACAGCCCCUCUACAGCUCAGCGCAGGGAAUGCAAAAAGGCAAAGGGAGUAACUGAGAGGACUUGGAAGAAACACCUGCUAAGGCGUCAUCUGGGAGGAGCUCCGCAGUCGCCAGGUGGCCUCAUGGACAAAGAGAUCAUAGAAAUAAUGACUGUUGGUGACCUGGGCUUGUGUAGGGGUGGGGGGUGGGGUGCGGGGUGGGGUGCGGGGCACUGCUGUCCUUGCUUAGAGCACCGGAACUGAUUCCUAGCUUAGAAAACAGUUGUCAAUUGGUGUGAAGCUUGUAGAUUCCUUUAGCACAAGGAUAGCAGGGUUCAGAAUAAUAGUUCUCCCCUCUCCCCUGACAAUUUACACUUGGUACACUCACUCUCCGUCAUCCCUGUUCCUCCUCCCAAUCUGUAAAUUUAACUAGCUCAUCUGGGAAGAGAUAAAAGCAAAUUGUGGUUUGCCACACUGGAAGGAGAUUACCUUCCUCCCCAGCACAGUGGUGGGUCCUGGGUACUGUGAGCUCUUAGGGGCAGCGUGGUUGCUCAUCUCUGUGUAAGUCUUACUGAAGGCCAUUCUGCACGCGGCUGUUAUGUAUCUAGCUUUUUACUCUUAAAAAAAAAAAAGGCUGGAAGAAUGAGAAGACAGCAAGCUGCACUGUGCUUCAGGACGCGCACAAGAGAAACUACAGGAUGUAACCGCUCUUUCCUUGGGAAGGGUCGCUAUAAACCCACAGAUAAUGCGGACACUGCAUUCAAUAGACCUCGACGAUGCAGCUUGCGUUCAUGGGGCCUGCUCGUGUCUGUCCUUCCAAACAUUCAGACAGUUUCAAGUGCGGGGAAAUAAAACCAAAACCCAUAGAUCUAAAUAAAUAUCUACUGAAUGAAUUAAAAGCUGCUCUCUAGAUAGGCGCUCUCAUCACCAACCCUACUUUCCCAUUAUCCUUCCCUCAGACACAGAAAGCUGUUCACAGCCUGUAUUGGAGCACUUAAUCAUCCCCAAAUUUCUUUAAUUGCCUUCUCUCCUUCUCGGCCCUGAACACUCCUCCUAAAACUGUUGCAGCUAACUCAAAUGCUUAUUUAACUGGCCGACUGACUGGCUCUGGACCCGACUUUGGCUCUUAACCUCAGUAGAGAAAAAUGCUUCCAUUAGAGACUGGUCAUAUGGGGGAAAAAAGCCCCUUGAUUGUUGGAAAGUUAUGUAAUGUUGUGGUUGUAAACUUGGGUCUUAAUAUCCAGCUGGUGAUUGAAUCUGUAAUCAGAGACUCUAUCGAGUGAUUUAGGGACUCAGUAAAUGAAUUGUUGACGCCUUGGAAGGUUUUCUCUGGCACUGGAGACCCCACCAGCUGUACCCUUUGCAAUGGCAACUGAAAGUUUGGUAGCAUGAGGCUACUGCCAGGCACUUGGCAUGGAGCCGCUCGUUAUGUCCUCCCCACCAUUCUAUAAUGCUGAUCUCCUCAUGUGAACAAUGGGGGACAACAGUCGUUUAUUCAAAAAAGGGAAAAAUGAGGUUUUCAGAAAGUGAGCUAGGUUUCUGUCAGUAUAUAAAAUAUCCAGAUAAUCUAUUUACAAAGAGACAAAGUUUACUUUCCCUUGCAGUUUUGGAGGCUCUAGCCCAUCACUGGCCUGUUGCUUUGGGGCCCGUGGUGAGAGGGGUGUGGGGGUAGCAUGCAGCCUAGCGGUGAUCUCCUGCUGUAGAGAGAAGAGACAGAGUGGAGAGGAAGGGAAUGGAGUCCCACCGUCCUCUUUUGAGAGCAUGUUCUAAGUGACUGGAGACCUUUUCAUUAUGCUUCAUCUUGAAAGGCUCACAAAGGAAUACGCACUUAACAGGGACACACUGAGGAGGCACAGACAGGGCAGACUUCAGCAGAGAGAUGAAGUGAAUUGCUCAAGUUUAUCCAGCUUGUAGAAUGGUGCCACUGUUGCUUGAGCCCAAGACCAACUAGAUCGUAAAACCUAUUUCGUUUGAGCUUUUGAGAUUCCCAUCAAUUUGGGCAAGAGAGAUAGCUAGGAAAACAUCAUAAUUGCUGUAACAAAAUUCAAAAUUACACUACAAAGAGAACCACCUCUGUCAUCAUGCCAUUCCUCUUUUAGCUACAGUUAACCACGAGAUAAUCACGGAGCUUUAAAAGUCCAGCGCUAUGCGUGCACAUUCAAUUCAUGUGCUCAACAAACGAUGUCACAAAACACCUCAUGAAGUAGAUUCUCACUUUCAGAAGUGGAUGCGGUUACAAAACUGGAGCCCUCAGAUGGUCUGACACUUCAUACAAUGAAAGCCACACAGACUGUUGUGGCCACAAACAGAUUGCCAGUUGGAAGUUGGCCAAGACAUUCUAGGUGCAUGCUGCAAUUGCAGUAAGGUAACAGAACUGAAAAGGCAACUAAUGCUAACCACUAGUGCCAGGAAAAUUUGUUUGUAAAUAGAUGUGGAUGCUGUCGCUAAGAUUACUGGGAUCUUUAAUUAAAUAAGACAACUUUACAGCAUGAAAGUUCAUUAAAACUUGCAAUCAGCA